UGGUUUACCAGACCCGGAAGGCGCGGGCCUUAGUGGCGGACGGGUGAGUAACGCGUGGGGAACCUGCCCCGUACCGGGGGAUAACACCUGGAAACAGGUGCUAAUACCGCAUAACAGAAGGGGACGCAUGUUUCUUUCUUGAAAACUCCGGUGGUACGGGAUGGACCCGCGUCUGAUUAGCUGGUUGGCGGGGUAACGGUCCACCAAGGCGACGAUCAGUAGCCGGCCUGAGAGGGCGGACGGCCACAUUGGGACUGAGACACGGCCCAAACUCCUACGGAAGGCAGCAG
rnacentral:rRNA from 1 species